CUCAUACUUGAAUGAGUUUCUAUGCAAAGACUCAGAACUUAAAGAGUGCCAGGGAUAUGUCCUGGGUUAUAUAUAAUGGAUGCCUGAAAGCCCAAAACACAUGAGGUAAAAAGAAAAAUUAGUUACUCUCAGUGUAAGAACUAAGAGAAUUAUCUAACUGAUCCUGAAGAGCCACCAUUCAAUUGACUUUGAAGAAGGAGGUUUUCACCUAACACCAGCCAUCUGUGGACUUGAGAAGUCAGCCCAGUGGAGCUUGGGGAACCUAACUGGUCUCCAAUCACUAUGCUGUUAAAGUGUUUUUAAGAGAGGAUAAACAGAAUGUACAUCAUGGUCCCUGGCACAUGAUAAAUCCUGCCUAAUUUUCAAGAAAAAUAAUAUAGCACCCACUUCUCUGCAGGAGAUAUUGUCUGAUAUAAAAAGUACACAACAUAACAACUUUGCAUGGACUUAUUACACCUACACUUUGAUGUAGACAAUAACUGUUAAAGGAAAAGAUUAAUUUUAAAAACAAACCUUGGCCUAAACCUCACCCCUUAUACAAAAUGUGACUCAAAAUAGAUCACAGAUUUAAUUGUAAAAUUUUCUUGAUUUUAAAUAACAACAAAGGGAAAAAUCAUCAGAACUAGGACUUAGUGGAGAGUUUUUAGACAUGAUUUAAAAACCCGUAAAAGAAAAAAACUUGACAAACUAGAUUUCAUCAAAACUUAAAACUUUUGCUCUGUGAAAGACCCUGUUAAGACAAUGAAGAGACAAACUAUGGGCUGGGAGAAAAAAAUUUGUAAAUCACAUAUGAGACAACUCAUACCUAGGAUAUAUACAGAACUCUCAAUAGUAAAAAAAAAUAAAAUAAAAUAAAUAACCCAAUAAAAAUGGGUAAAAUAUACAAAGACAUUCCACCAAAGAGUGUAUAUAUAAAGGGCAAACAAGAAUAUGAAAAUAUAUCCAACCUCACCAGCCUUUAGGAAAAUGCCAGUUAAGAUUAUCCCUAUACACAAAUUAGGCAAUCCAAAUGAAAAGUAGUGACCCCAUCAAGAUACUGGUGAGGAUGCAAAGAAACAGGAUUGCUCAUACAUUGCUGAUAGGAAAGCAAAAUGGUACAACCACUCUGAAAAAUAGUUCGGCAGUUUCUUAAAAAACUAAACACACAUUUACUAAACACACAGCUGAACAAGUGCACUCAUGGCGUUUAUCUCACAGAAAUAAAAUGAUGGCCAUUCAAAGGCCUGUACAUGAUUGUUCACAGUAGCUUUUUUUGUAAUAACUUGAAAAUAGAAAUAACCAAAAUGUCUCUUAGUAGGUAAAUAGUUAAACUGUGUUACACCUAUGCCAUAGUUUUCUACUCAACAAUAAAAAAACAAUUUGCGACAACUUGGAUGGAUCUCAAGAGCAUUACAUUGAUUAAAAAGAAACGAAUCUAAAAAGUUCACAUACCAUAUGAUUCAUUUAUAUAACAUUCAUGAAAAAUGACAAAAUUAUAGAAGUGGAAAACAGAUUAGUAGGUGCCAAGGGUUGAGGAGGGUGUGAAAGGGAAGGUUGUAACUAUAAAAAAGAAGCCCUAGGAAGGUCUUCGUGGUUUGUGGUGGUGGUUAUGUCAAUUUAGACAGGGGUGAUAAAAUGACAUGGAACUAUAUAACACACUAUAGCAUACCAAUGUCAAUUUCCUGGUUUUGAUAUUACACUCUUAUUAUAUAAGAUGUAACCAUGGCAGGAAAUGAAGUAAAAGGUACAUAGGACCUGUAUAUACUCUCUUGCAACUUCUCGUAAAUUGUUAUUUUUUUCAAAAUAAAGUUUCUUUUUAAAAAACUAUAUUAUUCUAGUUUGAACUGCCACAGAUCAUUCUAGACUGAAUGCCACAGUCCCUCCCCUUGGAAAGGUCUCCACCUGAACUUAGAACUCACUCCAUCACUAACUGCCUUGGAAGCUCUAGUUCUACCCCCAUUUGCUUUCAUUUUGCUCUUCCAGUGUCUCUUAGCUUCAGAAGAAUUUGGCAGCCACAUCCUCAUGGAUUUGACCCUCAACCUCAUUCUUUCUGAAGAAAGAAGGAAAAUUUUUCCACUCUUCUAAAGUUCUGAUGUUGGUGGAAAUUCAAGUUAUUAGAAACUGCUGCCCAAUAACGGAAGGAAAUGUGGUAGAGAAAACACUUGUUUGAAUGCUAGAGGCCUAGAUUAACUCUUCAGGCCACCUUGGCCAAAUCCCUUUUCCUCAGUCACCCGAUACAUUAAAUGUGGAGGCUUAACUGUGUAAUUUAUAUGUCAGCCUCCCAUCCAUUACUACUGCCCUCAAGGCACUAUGAGAAAAAGAAGAGCUAAAUUUCAGAGGAAAAUCUUACUAUCUUGAAACUCUGAAAGGCAGAAAAUCAGUUCUAGAAUGUACUUUCAUUUAAUCAUCUCCCUGUCACCAUUAUUUUAGGGAAAAUUACGAUAGCCAGUUGGAAUAAGUCACAAAUGGAAGGAAAAUGCUUCAGGAAAAAUUGUAGAAAGAAAGGGACAAAACUUUUCAAGGCAUUGUGCCAACUACAUCUCCAGGCUAAAUGACCCUUUGCUCAAGACAGAAUUGUUCUUGGGGAGGAAGAAAAACAAAACAAACAAAACAAAACAGUGUUCUGUUAUUUGGACUUAUCUUCCCUAUUCAUUUGAUUCAUUCAUAUAUUCACUCUGGUGACAGCUCAGGGCAACUCAGAAAAGACUGCCUCUGGCAACCAUGGAAGUAAAGGCGUUUCCUGUGCCUGCAUCCUUUGGGGCCACUCCUGCUGUUGCUGUGAAAGAAUUUUAAAGCAUUUUUUUCAAUCAAGGAAGGAAGCAAAAGAUCCCCGGCCUGUGAAUGAGCUGAGGACAUUUCUCCAAAGGAAUCAAUGAAAGACAAUAAAGGGUCAUUUGGCCCUAAGGGACACCCUGGAAUAAAACACAGAAUCUCUAGCAACCUACU